rnacentral:SRP_RNA from 3 species
CUCUUGGUUCCUCGCAAUGGUAUUUGGUUCACCGGGUCAGAUUCGGAAGAAAGCAGCCCAAGUCAAAUUUCCGUGUGCCGAGAUUCAGCUGGGAGGGA